GCCCAGACUCCUACGGGAGGCAGCAGUGAGGAAUAUUGGUCAAUGGGCGAGAGCCUGAACCAGCCAAGUCGCGUGAAGGAUGACGGCCCUACGGGUUGUAAACUUCUUUUGUCAGGGAGCAAUUGGGUCCACGUGUGGGCUUAGCGAGAGUACCUGAAGAAAAAGCAUCGGCUAACUCCGUGCCAGCAGCCGCAGUAAUACGGAGGAUGCGAGCGUUAUCCGGAUUUAUUGGGUUUAAAGGGUGCGUAGGCGGAAUAUCAAGUCAGCGGUAAAAAUUCGGGGCUCAACCCCGGCCUGCCGUUGAAACUGGCGGCCUCGAGUGGGCGAGAAGUAUGCGGAAUGCGUGGUGUAGCGGUGAAAUGCAUAGAUAUCACGCAGAACUCCGAUUGCGAAGGCAGCAUACCGGCGCCCGACUGACGCUGAGGCACGAAAGCGUGGGUAUCGAACAGGAUUAGAUACCCGAGUAAA
rnacentral:rRNA from 1 species